ACCUAUCUGUGCAGACCCGGCCGGCUGCGCGCGCAGAUAUCGAGCGGGGCGUGCCGUAGGACUUCUCAUUUUUUAGGUCUCAGAGUCCUGCUACCUACCCCGACGUAAUACACCACCCUGACGUCACCUUUCCCUGUGUGACGUGACGCAGAGCAUGAUCCUUGGGCCUCUUUGUCCCACCUGACCAAGGUGUAUGGGCAGGAUGGCCUCGCCCCUUAGGAGCAAGUCCUCCGCCCCGCGAGUGGAAAGCACCCGCCACAAGGAGACAUCGACUGUCCGCGUGGAGACGUCGUCCCACCGCGAGGAAACGUCAUCCCACCGCGUGGAGACGUCCUCCCGGCAGGUUCGAACGUCUUCCCGGCAGGUGGAGACCUCCCAGCGCCACCGAGAGGGGCCCUCCCUCACCCCCUCCACGAAGCGACUCCCUCAGUUCCUUGAGGUGUCCUCCCAGCACGUGGAAACCUCCUCGCAGUGCACGGAAACGUCCUCCCGCCACGUCAGGGCGUCGUCAUCCCUGAGGGUGGAGACUACUGUGCACCGUGUUGAGAGCCCAGCCAGGCGAGACAAGCAAGCCGCUCGGCAGAGUGCCAGAAUGGCUCGAUGAAGUGCCAAAGGUCCUUAGCCAGGACUGAAGAGUUGCCAGCCAGCCAUCUUCCAGGAGAACCGAGCAUCUUUGGUUUCAUGGAAAGAACCCAUAAAUCAGUGUAAGAAACAGGCUGUGGUUUCUGGGGGCUGUUAACAUGUAUUGACAUUGCAGCACCUUAGACCAUCCUGUUGUUGACCCCAGUGUGCUAUUAACUUGAAGCCAGCACAGAAGGUUUCAGACUGGUAGUGCAGUAUAAACCUGGCUGAUGGACAAUGAGAUUCUUUGAGUCUCUACACCAGGUAAGUUUUAUAGUCUUAGGUCACUCUAGGAUGUGUUGACGACUUGAAAUUUGCAAAGAGGGGCCAAACUUGUCAUGAUUCUUGACCGCUGGCCUGAUCAUAUACCUGCUUGAAACCUACAGGGCAAGGUAUCAUCUUUCAUACAUUAUUAAUUGGCCUUUAUUAAUACUUAUAUUUCAUUAUACAUUUUCUCAUGUUGUCAUACAUAGUAUUCCACCCACACUUAAAAAAUUAAAUCAGGGGGUAUAGGAAAAAACAGGACAAUUAAUAAACAAUCAAUAAAACCAUUAAUAAUCUUGGAAGGGAAAGUAAAGAAGAAGCCAUGACACUUGGCCUGAGGCGUGAGAUUGACAGGAUGGUAACUGAGUAUUACUGCAUGCUAGGUAGUAGUUAGAGCAUGGCAGCUAGAGCAGUGGAAAAGACUAGGAUCUUCCUCUAAUGAAGAGACAUGCAACAAAGGGGAAAGUAAGACAACAUGCUGUUGUAUUCCCGUGAAGGAAAGGCUGUCUGUCUUGUGGUAGAGAGUAGGGAACUCUUUAGAGAAUAUGGUCAGGGAAAGCCUUGCUGAUUACAUUUGGUCCGAGAUUUGUGUGAGUGGACAGUGAGCCAUAUCAGGAUCUAGAGGGAAGUGCAUUCUAGACAGAAGGGAAAGUCUACAUUUUUUUUAAAAAUCAAAGAUGUUUAUGUAAGAGAAAGAUCAGUUAGUAUAUGAGAGCGUGGUAUAAGGAAGAAAACAAAAAGGAGGAAGAUGCCACUUCAUAUAGAGUCUUGGAAAUCUUCUGGGAUUACAGUAAAGAGCUUGAAUUUUAUUCUGAGAUCAUCAAAAGAAUUUAGUGCAAGGGAGCAAAGUGCGUAUUGCAGUUUACAGUUUAGAACUACCUCUCCAUCGAAGUUGCAUUGGUAACCAAGUUGGGAAUGAUUUUGUCUCCAGAAGUGUGUGUGUUUGGGGCAGCGUGGAAGGUGCUCCUGCUUGCCUCAAGUGCCUAGUAGCCAGGGAUGCUGCUAACAUCUUAUGGUGCCCAGGUCAACACCCUGUCCCUCCUCCAACAAAGAAUCGCUGUGCUGAGAAAGGCAAGUCAUUGGUGAAGUUGAGAAACAUUGAGGUUUCUAGCAACUUUGCUAGAGGGUGGUGCACUAAGCAAACCCCUGACUUCUGCAUAGCAGAAUUGCGGAAAAGCCUGAAAGACAGUCAUGGAAGUGUGUUCAGAGCAUCUUCCGGUGAGGAACAAAAGCAAGCGUUCUCAGAGGAAGAGGAUGUGUUGCUCUGUAAGGAACCCUCUCUCUAGCCUGCUUUAAUAAUGCAUGUGCUACUUGCCACUAGAACAGAAGGCUGCAGAUGCUGAUUCUGCAGGACUCCUCAUGAGUCAGAGCACUUACUACUUCCAGGCACUAAUUUAGUCCCAGGGAGUGUACUGGACUGUCCCCGCAGAAUGGGGGCGCAGGUCAGAAGAAAUGUCAUAACUGCUAAAGAUGUUGAUGUUAUAACUACCAUCACUACCCCAAGGCUACCUGAAUGCCUGUCUGCCUCACAGAACUGCUAGUAUCAAAGAAUUAGCUAAUAGCAAAGAAUUGUCAGUUUUUUCCAGUUUACUAAUUCUUUUUAAUAUGGCCAACUGUGCCUUAAAUAAACAGAUAAAAAAACAAACAAAGCAGUUGCUUCUCUUUGUGUUCCUCAUUAUCUUCUUGUUGCAAAAGUGGUAUGUGUCUAAUGUAACAAAAUAAAUCAACAUAACAGUUAAUACGAUAUUAUAUUUCCUGUCCAUUACUAGCCUGGAAAUAAUGUCAGAGAUGUGUUUGUCUGUCCAGACCUUUCUCCAUUAGUGACUGCUUCUGUUUCCUCUUUUAGUAGUAUUUGGAAGACUGGCUGAAUGUGACUCUGGGAAAGCCAGGCGCCUGCUUCUGGAUCGUUGAUGCUUCAGGAAGGGCGUGGGAAGGAUCCUGGUAGAUUCCCUGUGGUCCUGGUCUUAUUUUUAUCUAGGAUUCUUCCUCCAUAUUUCACUUAUUCAUGUUCCAAGAGAGAGAGAGAGAGAGAGAGAGAGAGAGAGAGAGAGAGAGAGAAUGAAUGUAAUGAAACACCUUUGCCAUAAAUCUAUAUUAUACAUUCCACAGCUUCAAAAUGACAGUGUACAUCAAUGAAGGUAAUUGUUGAUGUACCCAUUGUACUUUGUAAAUGUGUGUGUUACUGUUAGCCAUGCUGUGUGUCUUCCUCAUCGUUCUCUGUAGGAAAUAGAGCUGCUGUACCUGGCAUGUGUUACACAGUGUUAAAGACAGCAUGUGCAACAAUAAUAAAUGAAGAGUAAUAUUCUCCAUUUGCAGUCGAGAAAGCCUUUAAUGGCACAGUCUAAUAAUUGGAUUUAUUGUGCUGGGUAAUAGUUGUGUCUUGCCUUCAGCUGUGUCAGCCAGGUUAGUUUAAAAAAAAAAAAACUAAAUAAAUGUAAGUUCUUGUAAAGAA
ensembl:processed_transcript 4930563E22Rik RIKEN cDNA 4930563E22 gene